GCAGUGGUGGUUCAGUAGUAGAAUUCUUGCCUUCCAUGUGGGAGACCUGGGUUUGAUUCCCGGCCAACACA
rnacentral:tRNA from 1 species